AACGAACGCUGGCGGCAGGCUUAACACAUGCAAGUCGAACGUAUCGCAAGAUGAGUGGCAGACGGGUGAGUAACGCGUGGGAACAUACCCUUUUCUACGGAAUAGCUCUGGGAAACUGGAAUUAAUACCGUAUACGCCCUACGGGGGAAAGAUUUAUCGGGGAAGGAUUGGCCCGCGUUGGAUUAGCUAGUUGGUGGGGUAAAGGCCUACCAAGGCGACGAUCCAUAGCUGGUCUGAGAGGAUGAUCAGCCACAUUGGGACUGAGACACGGCCCAAACUCCUACGGGAGGCAGCAGUGGGGAAUAUUGGACAAUGGGCGCAAGCCUGAUCCAGCCAUGCCGCGUGAGUGAUGAAGGCCUUAGGGUUGUAAAGCUCUUUCACCGAUGAAGAUAAUGACGGUAGUCGGAGAAGAAGCCCCGGCUAACUUCGUGCCAGCAGCCGCAGUAAAAC
rnacentral:rRNA from 1 species